rnacentral:rRNA from 1 species
GACGAACCGUACGAACGUUAUUCGGAAUCACUGGGCUUAAAGGGUGCGUAGGCGGCGCGACAAGUUGGGUGUGAAAUCCCUCGGCUCAACCGAGGAACUGCGCCCAAAACUGUCGUGCUCGAGGGAGACAGAGGUGAGCGGAACUUAGGGUGGAGCGGUGAAAUGCGUUGAUAUCCUAAGGAACACCGGUGGCGAAGGCGGCAUCCCGGACCGACACUGACACUGAGGAGCGAAAGCCAGGGGAGCAAACGGG